UUAAAUGGAAGCAGCAGCAGAGGAGUUUUCAUAUUAUUUGGUGCAAGAUAAAGCGAGAGACAAUGGAAAUGAGGCAGAUGAGAGAGAACAAGAACAGCUCAGACUUCCUGAAGUUCCAACUCCCUGGUCUCAGUCCGAAAUGGAGAAUUUAAGUUAUAACUGGCUCUGCCCUGUCUUUCAGUCACAGCAAAGUGACUGAGUUUUCCCCAGCCAGAUCCAGGGCAAUUGGAACAGUGGAUGGAGGGGAUCUGGAUGCAUGGUGAUCUCUGGCUCUGUGGGUGAUCCUCAGUCACCAUGAAAGAAUAGGAACUCAUCUCUCCCAGGGAAAUGGCUUGUUUCAUAAUAUCCCUUCUACCUGGCAUAUGACUCCAGCUGCCUGUGAAGGGCCUGUUGGCUGUUUAUGGGAACUGUCACUGUGUUCACACUCUUGAGGAUUUAAGAAUUUCC
ensembl:lncRNA